rnacentral:rRNA from 1 species
GAUCAUGGCUCAGGAUGAACGCUAGCGACAGGCCUAACACAUGCAAGUCGAGGAGCAGCGGAGAGGUAGCAAUACCUUUGCCGGCGACCGGCGCACGGGUGAGUAACACGUAUGCAAUCCACCUGUAACAGGGGGAUAACCCGGAGAAAUCCGGGCUAAUACCCCAUAAUAUGGGCGCUCCGCAUGGAGAGCCCAUUAAAGAGAGCAAUUUUGGUUACAGACGAGCAUGCGCU